rnacentral:rRNA from 1 species
UACGUAGGGUGCGAGCGUUGUCCGGAAUUACUGGGCGUAAAGGGCGCGUAGGCGGCCUUCUAAGUCGAACGUGAAAUCCCCGGGCUCAACCCGGGAACUGCGUCCGAUACUGGAAGGCUUGAAUCCGGGAGAGGGAUGUGGAAUUCCAGGUGUAGCGGUGAAAUGCGUAGAUAUCUGGAGGAACACCGGUGGCGAAGGCGACAUCCUGGACCGGAAUUGACGCUGAGGCGCGAAAGCCAGGGGAGCAAACGGG